UCUAGUAAGAGUGGCAGUCGA
rnacentral:miRNA from 4 species